rnacentral:rRNA from 1 species
AGUGAACGCUGGCGGUAGGCCUAACACAUGCAAGUCGAACGGCAGCACAGUAAGAGCUUGCUCUUACGGGUGGCGAGUGGCGGACGGGUGAGGAAUACAUCGGAAUCUACUUUUUCGUGGGGGAUAACGUAGGGAAACUUACGCUAAUACCGCAUACGACCUACGGGUGAAAGCAGGGGAUCUUCGGACCUUGCGCGAUUGAAUGAGCCGAUGUCGGAUUAGCUAGUUGGCGGGGUAAAGGCCCACCAAGGCGACGAUCCGUAGCUGGUCUGAGAGGAUGAUCAGCCACACUGGAACUGAGACACGGUCCAGACUCCUACGGGAGGCAGCAGUGGGGAAUAUUGGACAAUGGGCGCAAGCCUGAUCCAGCCAUACCGCGUGGGUGAAGAAGGCCUUCGGGUUGUAAAGCCCUUUUGUUGGGAAAGAAAAGCAGCAGGUUAAUACCCCGCUGUUCUGACGGUACCAAAGAAUAAGCACCGGCUAACUUCGUG